GCCACAGUGGCAUGCGCCUAUAGUCCUAGCUACUCUGGAGGCUGAGAUAGAAGGAUUGCUUGAGUCCAGGAGUUCUGGGCUAUAGUGUGCCAUGCUGAUUGGAUGUCCACACUAAGCUCAGCAUCAAUAUGGUGAUGUCCCAUGAGAGGGGACCACCAGGUUGCCUAAGGAGGGGUGAACCAGCUCAAGUCGAAACAGAAAAGGCCAAAACUCCCAUGCUGGUCAGAAAGUAGUUACUAUGACAACUGUCACAAAACCUUGCAUGUUAUUUACUACACCUGCAGGGUGAGACAUAAACACCAAUCUGU
rnacentral:SRP_RNA from 1 species